GACGGAGGAUGCAAGUGUUAUCCGGAAUCACUGGGCGUAAAGCGUCUGUAGGUGGUUCAAUAAGUCAACUGUUAAGUCUUGAGGCUCAACUUCAAAAUCGCAGUCGAAACUAUUGGACUCGAGUAUAGUAGGGGUAAAGGGAAUUUCCAGUGGAGCGGUGAAAUGCGUAGAGAUGGAAAGAACACCAACGGCGAAAGCGAUCUGC
rnacentral:rRNA from 1 species